rnacentral:rRNA from 1 species
UUGAGCGAGGGGAUGGACUUCGGUCUGUCUUCCUAGCAGCGAACGGUCGCGUAACACGUAAGCAACCUGCCUCGAAGUUUGGGAUAGCCCUCCGAAAGGAGGAGUAAUACCGGAUGUGGAUAUAUUUAGACAUCUUUUUAUAUCUAAAGCAGCAAUGCGCUUCGAGAUGGGCUUGCGGCCUAUCAGCUAGUUGGUGAGGUAACGGCCCACCAAGGCGACGACGGGUAGCUGGUCUGAGAGGAUGAUCAGCCGGAUUGGGACUGAGAUACGGCCCAGACUCCUACGGGGGGCAGCAAUUAGGAAUCUUGCGCAAUGGGCGAAAGCCUGACGCAGCGACGCCGCGUGACUGAUGAAGUCUUUCGGGAUGUAAAGGUCUUUUCUGAAGGAAGAACACAAUGACGGUACUUCAGGAAUAAGCCCCGGCUAACUACGUGCCAGCAGCCGCGGUAAUACGUAGGGGGCGAGCGUUGUCCGAAUUCACUGGGCGUAAAGCGCGCGUAGGCGGACUAUUAAGUUGAUGGUGAAAUCCCGAGGCUCAACCUCGGAACUGCCUUCAAAACUGAUAGUCUUGAGGUUUGGAGAGGGAAUUGGAAUUCCAGGUGUAGCGGUGAAAUGCGUAGAUAUCUGGAGGAACACCCAUGGCGAAGGCAGAUUCCUGGCCAUAUCCUGACGCUGAGGUGCGAAAGCUAGGGUAGCGAACGGGAUUAGAUACCCCGGUAGUCCUAGCCGUAAACGAUGGAUACUAGGUGUUAGAGGUAUCGACCCCUCUAGUGCCGAAGCUAACGCAUUAAGUAUCCCGCCUGGG